rnacentral:tRNA from 1 species
GGAGAUUUAGCUCAGAGGCAUAAGCACCUGCCUUGAAAGCAGGCAGUCCUGAGUUCGAUCCCCGGUACCA